AUUGAACGCUGGCGGCAGGCCUAACACAUGCAAGUCGAACGAGUGGCGGACGGGUGAGUAAUGUCUGGGAAACUGCCUGAUGGAGGGGGAUAACUACUGGAAACGGUAGCUAAUACCGCAUACCAUCAGAUGUGCCCAGAUGGGCUUAGCUAGUUGGUGGGGUAACGGCUCACCAAGGCGACGAUCCCUAGCUGGUCUGAGAGGAUGACCAGUCCAACGGGAACUGAGACACGGUCCAGACUCCUACGGGAGGCAGCAGUGGGGAAUAUUGCACAAUGGGCGCAAGCCUGAUGCAGCCAUGCCGAGUGUAUGAAGAAGGCCUUCGGGGUGGAAAGUACUUUCAGCAGGGAGGCGUUACGCGCAGAAGAAGGCCCGGGUAACCCCGUGCCAGCAGCCGCGGUAAUUC
rnacentral:rRNA from 1 species